rnacentral:lncRNA from 1 species
AAAAGCCUCCAUUCUUGUAACGCCACAAAUUCCCAUACAUAUUAAAUUAUAGAAAUUGGGCUUUCAUUAAGAAUUAUGGGUGGCCUAUAACCCUUAUUUAGAAAGGGGUACUAAUUAAAUAGAGGUUAUUUAUGAGAUCAUUUUGGAAAAGGGUUAUUUUUCCUUAUUGAAUAGGGUUUCUUAAGAUCCCCUAUAAAUACAUACUUUUCCCCCUUCCAUAACCCUAAGUUCACAACAUUUAUUCUUCUUCUCUGCUGCUCUUUACGCUCUUACCCAAAUCUUAGGAUUCAAACCUUUGUUUAGGAGAGAAUCAAGCGACGGGUAAGUUGUUCUCCAUGUUCUCAACAGAUUUCUAAUCACUCUAUCUAACUAGGGUUUAUAUUAGCACGAUUCUAAUGGUUGUAGAUCAUGAUGCAUGGUUUAGAAUAUAUUUAGACUUUGCUUAGGGUUUUGAUUUAGUAUGAGUUUAGUUAAUCAAUCCUUGACGUAUUAAGCACAGGAUAAUUCUGGACAGCAUGAGGAUCUCGAAUUUUAAAGCUAUAUUUUCUGAACGAAUUUUCUUAUAAAAUUUAUAUUUCUGGAAACUAGACAUGUAGGGCUUCUUGAUUAAAUUUUAUUUCAUUAAAUUCAACUUCGUUUUCAAUUUUAUACGUAUUUUGGAAAUAGAAACCACUGCACUGGAAAUCCACGAUUCCAGUAUUGUGAUCAGAUUCACAAGACUAUUUAUACCACCAAAUGAACUCAAAAAAUUUUGAAAGUUUAUAUGUAUGUUAAUAUAUGUGUCUAGGAUUCGCAGUUUUAAUUUCAUAAUUUUCGGAUUAGUAUUUUAUUUUAUAAAAAUCACGGAACCCGUUCUGUUUGGUUUAGAUUAUGUGAAAACAGUUUCGAAUUUGCUGAGAAGUAAAUAGUUUUUAAAAUAUUUUUAAUAUUGGAUUCUCUUGUAAAUUUUACAUGGGGUACUCAUGGAUGUCCAGAAUGGUUCCAUAGGAUUUUAUAUCAUUCUGAGACUUGGAUUAAGAGUUAAAAUUCUGAGAAUCAGACCUGUACGGGUAUGAAUUAGAAAAUCAAAUUCUUAGAAUAAGUUAUUGAUUGUCAUAUCUUGUAUUUGUUUAAGGUUUUGAAGGUGUUUGAGGCUCUUAGAAGCUUAGAGGUGUGUUAAUCCAAGUUCAUUUGUCGAGGUAAGUAACUUCAUUCCUAAUGUACUGGAUAUGUAGAAGUAUUUUGAUAUUAUUAUUAUAAGUAUAAAUGUUUUGAUACUACUUAAAGGAUUACUAAUUUUGAUAACAAAAUUAGCUUUAUGUAAAUGUUUUCAAACCAUUCUUUUUAACAAAGUAUUUUAUAAAUGCUUUUUAAUAUGUAAAUGAUUUUAUGACAUGACAACCUUUUAUGAUGUUAUCUUUAAAAUGUUAUGCAAGCCUAUAUUAUUGAUAUGAACUUUUAUAAAUCUGAUACGAAUGUUUUGUACCCAUAUAUGAUUUCAAUUACUGAUAAUUGUAUGAGAUUCCUAAUGUUUUGGCUCAUUGUCCAUAGUUAUUCUGAUUCUGAUUCUGAUCGUAAUAUACGAUAUAUCUGUCUGGACCAGUACUGGGUUUCUGUUCUGAAUGUGCACACGAUAUUCUGAUUAUGUUUCUGGCCGGGUCACCGGGACUAUAGGUGACACUAUGUGACAAGAGCUAACCUUUUUGUUUCUGUAUAAGUAUUAUAUGAUUUGUUUCGUAAGUAAAUAUGCUUUUCGAUAUUUUGAAUUAUUAAGAAUUUAUGUGAUGUUAUCGUGAAAUAUCGUUUUAUGAAAUUUAUGGAUUAUGAUAUAUGUUUUAAUAAAAAAAAAGGGCUUGCAAUAUUUUUUGUAUCGAUAGGCCUAGUGUGUUAGGAAUGGUUUUACUUACCGAGUUGACAGCUCACCCCUCGUCAUUACUUUUUGCAGAUUAAGUUUCUUUUGAGAGGUGCGCUUAGCUUUGGAGUUAGUAAUUUCCAGUUUCCGUUUGCUAUUGAAUAAGAGGAGGAAUAGACUUGUGUUUCUAUUUAGUUACUUUUAUUAUGAACGUGUAAUUUGGAGUUUGAGACUUUUGUUAUUAUUUUUAUGUCCUCGAGAGAGAUUAUUUAGUAUUUGACGUUUGGAUUUAUGGAUUUAUUUGAAUAAGAAUUGGAGGAAUUUCAGUUUGAAACUUAUGAGUAAAGAUUAUGAUUUGUGAGUAACCUCCAUCUAACACGUGCUCCGCACGUGUUAGAUUUGGGGUGUUACAAUUCUACUUCGACUCAACAUUAUCAUCACUUAGAACAUCAACUUACAACAAGCCAUCACAACACAUACACAAGAAAUUUAAAUCAAAGCAGAAUAAGUUGAAAUCACAAGGCACAACCAAAUGAAUAAUUUGCAUUCCAGUAAAAUUUAAGUUCGAAAAAUGAAUUAAGGUUGCGAUACACAGCCUGCUGGGGAAAGUGGCCUUCCAUGUUGCCCAUCACGUGGUGAAAAGAAAAAGAAAAAAAAAGAGUGAAAGAAAUGAAGAAUCAACUCACAAGUUGUAGCUUUAUGGAGAUCACAAUAUUUCCAGAUGACAACGACUGCGGCGACGAGCAGCAGCGA